CCUACGGGGGGCAGCAGUGGGGAAUCUUCCGCAAUGGGCGAAAGCCUGACGGAGCAACGCCGCGUGAUCGAAUGAAGGCCUUCGGGUUGUAAAGAUCUGUUGACAGGGACGAAUAAGCCAUGCGAAUAGUUUGGUGUAUGACGGUACCUGUUUAGAAAGCUCCGGCUAACUACGUGCCAGCAGCCGCGGUAAUACGUAGGGAGCAAGCGUUGUCCGGAAUUACUGGGCGUAAAGGGCGCGUAGGUGGGUGCUUAAGUCAGGUGUGAAAACUCUGGGCUCAACCUGGAGACUGCACUUGAAACUGGGUAUCUUGAGGGCAGGAGAGGAAAGUGGAAUUCCUAGUGUAGCGGUGAAAUGCGUAGAUAUUAGGAGGAACACCAGUGGCGAAGGCGACUUUCUGGACUGUACCUGACGCUGAGGCGCGAAAGCGUG
rnacentral:rRNA from 1 species